GACGAACGCUGGCAGAAUGCUUAACACAUGCAAGUCAACUGUGGCGGACGGGUGAGUAACGCGUACAGAACUUGCCUCACAGAUAGGGACAACAUUUGGAAACGAAUGCUAAUACCUGAUACUGUGAGAGAGCUUUGCGUCCCAUUAGCUAGUUGGAGAGGUAACUGCUCACCAAGGCGAUGAUGGGUAGCCGGCCUGAGAGGGUGAUCGGCCACAAGGGGACUGAGACGCGGCCCUUACUCCUACGGGAGGCAGCAGGGGGGAAUAUUGGACAAUGGACCAAAGUCUGAGCCAGCAAUUCUGUGUGCACGAUGAAGUUUUCGGAAUGUAAAGUGCUUUCAGUUGGGAAGCAGUACCAACAGAAGAAGUGACGGCUAAAUACGUGCCAGCAGCCGCGGUAAUAC
rnacentral:rRNA from 1 species